rnacentral:misc_RNA from 1 species
GAUGAAGAACGUAGUGAAAUGCGAUAAUUAAUGUGAAUUGCAGAAUUCAGUGAAUCAUCGAGUCUUUGAACACACAUUGCGCCUCAUGGCAUUCCGUGAGGCAUGCCCAUCUCAGCGUUAGAAAAUAUUCUCAAAUUUUAGUUUUGUGCUAAAAUUUGGAUCAUGUCAAGGAAGCUAUUACUAUUAUUGUGAUCGCUCUUUGGAAAUUGAUAGGUCUUUGAGUUGCUACUCAUAGAACGUGAUGAAUCUUUCUUCGUUCUAUUGUAAUUCACUCUGGUAGUCCUAAAACUUGUAUGCCUGUGGCAUAUCUUGUAAUUUGACCUGAGAUUGGGUAGGGAUACCCGCUGAACUUAAGCAUAUCAAUAAGCGGAGG